UGGGGAAUAUUGGACAAUGGGCGAAAGCCUGAUCCAGCCAUGCCGCGUGUGUGAAGAAGGUCUUCGGAUUGUAAAGCACUUUAAGUUGGGAGGAAGGGCAGUAAAUUAAUACUUUGCUGUUUUGACGUUACCGACAGAAUAAGCACCGGCUAACUCUGUGCCAGCAGCCGCGGUAAUACAGAGGGUGCAAGCGUUAAUCGGAAUUACUGGGCGUAAAGCGCGCGUAGGUGGUUCGUUAAGUUGGAUGUGAAAUCCCCGGGCUCAACCUGGGAACUGCAUUCAAAACUGACGAGCUAGAGUAUGGUAGAGGGUGGUGGAAUUUCCUGUGUAGCGGUGAAAUGCGUAGAUAUAGGAAGGAACACCAGUGGCGAAGGCGACCACCUGGACUGAUACUGACACUGAGGUGCGAAAGCGUGGGGAGCAAAACA
rnacentral:rRNA from 1 species